AAAAAAAAAAAAAAAAAAAAAAAAAAAAAAAAAAAAAAAAAAAAAAAAAAAAAAAAAAAAAAAAAAACGGUUGAGGGGCAAAAAGGACAUUUUACCCCUCAGCCCAUUAUAGGGGUCUUGAGCGUCCUCCUCAGAUUACCUGCAAAAGAAGAAGAGUGAGAGAGAAGAACUGAGAGAAAGUUUGAGAGAGAAAACUGGUUUGCCGGAGUUCUCGUCGGAGAGUCGCCGACGGAAUCCAUUUCCUACCAAGACCUGUACUCUGGAGCCCUUCUUGGAGUGAAGUAAGAACUCGUGUGGAGAUUUCCUCCUCCUUCCUCAAGAUCAGAAAGAAAACCCGCAAAGUAAGAUUUCGAACUAUACCUUCCAGAUCUUAGAUCUUUGUUUAGGAGUAGAAUGGUUAAGUCUACUACCUUUGUCCAGGGAGGAUUCGCUGCCGAUCUUGGUGAGGGAAACGGACGAAACGACGAGAUCUGAGAGACUAUCCAAGAACGGUAAGGUUGUUACCGAACCUCUUUUCGACGCUCGAAACUCAUCGUGUGACUAAGCAAAAAUCAAGAAAAUAAUAUUGGCACGUAGGUUGAUAGAUGAUCUAUAACUUUGUUGAAGAAACCACCUCUGUUUGGGUUAAGAAUCGAAAGAUAGAAAAUGGAAAGAAACCUCGGAAAAACUAAUCGGAAGCCUUGAUUUUCUGGUAGGAGGAGAGAGAAGCCGCCGGUGUGCCACGCGUCAACCAACCAGAGGGCCGCGUGCGCCAAUCGCCCCCGGACACGCGUCGAGCGCCGCCUGGGAAAACGCGGCUCCAGCGCUCCUGCGACACGCGUCCCUGGCUCCGCGACCCGACCCGCGCUCCUUGGCUGACCCGAUACCCGCACGGCGAACCGAAACCAGUUGACGACCCGCGGUCCACCCGAAUCACCGCUUCCGACCCGAACUCGCGACCCGCGACUGCAGAAUCUCUGGGCGCGUGACACUCGCGCGUGGAACCCGCGAGUGGUUGUUCCCCAGCGCGUGGCUGGCGCGUGGAAGCGCGUGACCAAAUUGAAGGAAAAUCACCGCCUCUCGAUACGUUAAGUGGGUGGAAACGCUGCUUAAGGACACGCGCCAUCCAGGUACGUGAGGCGUCGAGUCAAGAGAGGGCGCGUCGAUCGAUGUGGGUUGUCACAGAGGAAGCGUGUCCCGGGGCGUCAGUCUAGUUUACUAAAUAGUACACUUUGUCUCACAUGUUCCU